rnacentral:rRNA from 1 species
AGUCGAGCGGAAACGAUGGUAGCUUGCUACCAGGCGUCGAGCGGCGGACGGGUGAGUAACGCGUGAGAAUCUGCCCAUUUGUGGGGGAUAACUCGGGGAAACUCGAGCUAAUACCGCAUAAUCCCUACGGGGGAAAGCAGGGGACCUUCGGGCCUUGUGCAGAUGGAUGAGCUCGCGUCGGAUUAGCUUGUUGGUGAGGUAAAGGCUCACCAAGGCGACGAUCCGUAGCUGGUCAGAGAGGAUGAUCAGCCACACCGGGACUGAGACACGGCCCGGACUCCUAUGGGAGGCAGCAGUGGGGAAUCUUGGACAAUGGGGGCAACCCUGAUCCAGCCAUGCCGCGUGUGUGAAGAAGGCCUUCGGGUUGUAAAGCACUUUCAGUAGGGAGGAAGGCUUACCGCUAAUAACGGUGAGUACUUGACGUUACCUACAGAAGAAGCACCGGCUAAUUUCGUGCCAGCAGCCGCGGUAAUACGAAAGGUGCGAGCGUUAAUCGGAAUUACUGGGCGUAAAGCGCGCGUAGGCGGUUUGUUAAGUCAGAUGUGAAAGCCCCGGGCUCAACCUGGGAAUUGCAUUUGAAACUGGCAGGCUAGAGUGCAGUAGAGGGAGGUGGAAUUUCCGGUGUAGCGGUGAAAUGCGUAGAGAUCGGAAGGAACACCAGUGGCGAAGGCGGCCUCCUGGACUGACACUGACGCUGAGGUGCGAAAGCGUGGGGAGCAAACAGGAUUAGAUACCCUGGUAGUCCACGCCGUAAACGAUGUCUACUAGUCGUUGGGAAUCUUAGUAUUCUUGGUGACGAAGUUAACGCGAUAAGUAGACCGCCUGGGGAGUACGGCCGCAAGGUUAAAACUCAAAUGAAUUGACGGGGGCCCGCACAAGCGGUGGAGCAUGUGGUUUAAUUCGAUGCAACGCGAAGAACCUUACCAGGCCUUGACAUCCUUGGAACUUUCUAGAGAUAGAUUGGUGCCUUCGGGAGCCAAGUGACAGGUGCUGCAUGCUGUCGUCAGCUCGUGUCGUGAGAUGUGGGUAGUCCCGUACGAGCGCAUCGUGUCCUAGUGCAGCACUCGGGUGACUCUAGGGAGACUGCGGUGACAACCGGAGAGGUGGGACGACGUCAGUCAUCAUGGCCUUACGCCUGGCUACCACGUGCUACAUGGGCAGUACAAAGGCCCUAAUUCCAGCAGCAUCCUUAAAGGUCGAAUCCGAUGGAGCGCCCUCACUCCUGAGUCGAAUCUACUUAUUAUGCCAACACAAAUAUGCUUG